AAUAAGUGCAGCCAUAAAUUUUUGCGUUCAAUUUUAAUCGUCCAUCUUAUUUAAAAUUUUUUUAUAAUUAGUAUUUUUGUUGUUAUGAGAUGAUAAAACAUGAAUAGUGCUUUACUCGUGACUUAUGUUUUUAAUUUUUUUAAAAAAAAUUAAAUAAGACGAAUAGUUAAAGUUGGGCGCGGAAAAUUAUGGCUGCACUUAUU
rnacentral:pre_miRNA from 1 species